AGUGAACGCUGGCGGCGUGCCUAAUACAUGCAAGUCGAACGGCCACACAGUAAGCUUUCGCCCCUACCGUUGGCGACUGGCGGACGGGUGACGCAUACAUCGGCUACCACUUUUUCUGGGGUGACAACGUGGGGCAACUUACGCUAAUACCGCAUAUGUUCAACCGGUUGAAGCAGUGGUUCUUCGCAGCUUUCGUGACUCUAUUAGCCGAUGUCGGAUUAGCUAGUUGGCUAGGUAAAGGCCCACCAAGGCGACGAUGCGUAGCUGAUCUGAGAGGAUGAUCGGCCACACUGGAACUGAGACACGGUCCAGACUCCUACGGGAGGCAGCAGUAGGGAAUAUUGGGCAAUGGGCGAAAGCCUGAUGCAGCAAUGCCGCGUGGGUGAAGAAGGCCUUCGGGUUGUAAAGCCCUUUUGUUGGGGAAGAAAAGCAGCAGGUUAAUACCCCGCUGUUCUGACGGUACCCAAAGAAUAAGCACCGGCUAACUUCGUG
rnacentral:rRNA from 1 species